rnacentral:rRNA from 1 species
AGCGAACAUUGGCGGUAGGCUUAACACAUGCAAGUCGAGCGAGGUUUAGAACCGAGCGGCGAACGGGUGAGUAAAACUUGGGAAUCUACCCUGAAGUGGGGGAUAACGUUCAGAAAUGAACGCUAAUACCGCAUAAUCCACAUUGGGAAAGCGCGCUGCGCUUUAGGAUGAGCCCAAGCCUGAUUAGCUAGUUGGUGGGGUAACGGCCCACAAAGGCGACGAUCAGUGGCUGGUCUGAGAGGAUGAUCAGACACACUGGAACUGAGAAACGGUCCAGACUCCUCCGGGAGGCAGCAGUGGGGAAUCUUGGUCAAUGGGGGCAACCCUGAGCCAGCCAUGCCGCGUGAGUGAUGAAGGCCUUAGGGUUGUAAAGCUCUUUUAUGAGGGAAGAUGAAGACGGUACCUCAAGAAUAAGCCCCGGCUAACUUCGUGCCAGCCGCCGCGGUAA